AGUAUUUCUGUCUCUUUUAUAUCAAUAAAAAUUGAAUUAUAGGUGAAGAUGCCUAUAUAUUUUUAAAGGACAAAAAGACCCUAUUGAGCUUUAUUUCUUAUUAAUUAAAAAAGAAAUACCACAAAUUUUUAUUAAAAGGAGAUUCUGUUGGGGCGACAAAGGAACACAAAAAACUUCCAAAAAAAAAAAGAAAACACUUCUAUUCAAUGAUCCUUAAUAGCUAAAGAAACCAGCUACCAUAGGGAUAACAGGCUAAUCAUUUUAAAGAGUUCAUAUUGAUAAAAUGGGUUGGCACCUCGAUGUUGGCUUAGGGUAUCCUAUAAGUGCAGAAG
rnacentral:rRNA from 1 species